ACGGGGUAGUAAUGUGUCGGAACGUGCCCAGAGGACGGGGAUAGCGGCGGGAAACUGCCGGUAAUACCCGAUGAUCUCGAGAGAGCAAAGGUGUGAUUCCGCCUUUGGAGCGGCCGACAUGGUAUUAGCUAGUUGGCGGGGUAACGGCCCACCAAGGCUGUGAUGCCUAGGGGAUGUGAGAGCAUGAUCCCCACCAUUGGGACUGAGACACUGCCCAGACACCUACGGGUGGCUGCAGUCGAGAAUCUUCGUCAAUGGGCGAAAGCCUGAACGAGCGACGCCGCGUGCGGGAUGAAGGCCCUUGGGUUGUAAACCGCUGUCGAGGGGGAUGAAGGCUUGAAGGUACUCCUUCAAGUUUGACAGAGCCCUGGAGGAAGCACGGGCUAAGUUCGUGCCAGCAGCCGCGGUAAUACGAACUGUGCGAACGUUAUUCGGAAUCACUGGGCUUACAGGGUGCGUAGGCGGCUAUUCAGGUCAGGUGUGAAAGCCCUCGGCUCAACCGAGGAACUGCGCUUGAAACCGGAUGGCUCGAGUCAACUAGAGGUGCACGGAACUUCCAGUGGAGCGGUGAAAUGUGUUGA
rnacentral:rRNA from 1 species